rnacentral:rRNA from 1 species
GGGUUGUGAGGUUAAGCGACUAAGCGUACACGGUGGAUGCCCUGGCAGUCAGAGGCGAUGAAGGACGUGCUAAUCUGCGAUAAGCGUCGGUGAGGUGAUAUGAACCGUUAUAACCGGCGAUUUCCGAAUGGGGAAACCCAGUGUGUUUCGACACACUAUCAUUAACUGAAUCCAUAGGUUAAUGAGGCGAACCGGGGGAACUGAAACAUCUAAGUACCCCGAGGAAAAGAAAUCAACCGAGAUUCCCCCAGUAGCGGCGAGCGAACGGGGAGGAGCCCAGAGCCUGAAUCAGUGUGUGUGUUAGUGGAAGCGUCUGGAAAGGCGCGCGAUACAGGGUGACAGCCCCGUACACAAAAAUGCACAUAUUGUGAGCUCGAUGAGUAGGGCGGGACACGUGGUAUCCUGUCUGAAUAUGGGGGGACCAUCCUCCAAGGCUAAAUACUCCUGACUGACCGAUAGUGAACCAGUACCGUGAGGGAAAGGCGAAAAGAACCCCGGCGAGGGGAGUGAAAAAGAACCUGAAACCGUGUACGUACAAGCAGUGGGAGCCUCUUAAUGGGGUGACUGCGUACCUUUUGUAUAAUGGGUCAGCGACUUAUAUUCUGUAGCAAGGUUAACCGAAUAGGGGAGCCGAAGGGAAACCGAGUCUUAACUGGGCGUUAAGUUGCAGGGUAUAGACCCGAAACCCGGUGAUCUAGCCAUGGGCAGGUUGAAGGUUGGGUAACACUAACUGGAGGACCGAACCGACUAAUGUUGAAAAAUUAGCGGAUGACUUGUGGCUGGGGGUGAAAGGCCAAUCAAACCGGGAGAUAGCUGGUUCUCCCCGAAAGCUAUUUAGGUAGCGCCUCGUGAAUUCAUCUCCGGGGGUAGAGCACUGUUUCGGCAAGGGGGUCAUCCCGACUUACCAACCCGAUGCAAACUGCGAAUACCGGAGAAUGUUAUCACGGGAGACACACGGCGGGUGCUAACGUCCGUCGUGAAGAGGGAAACAACCCAGACCGCCAGCUAAGGUCCCAAAGUCAUGGUUAAGUGGGAAACGAUGUGGGAAGGCCCAGACAGCCAGGAUGUUGGCUUAGAAGCAGCCAUCAUUUAAAGAAAGCGUAAUAGCUCACUGGUCGAGUCGGCCUGCGCGGAAGAUGUAACGGGGCUAAACCAUGCACCGAAGCUGCGGCAGCGACACUAUGUGUUGUUGGGUAGGGGAGCGUUCUGUAAGCCUGUGAAGGUGGACNNNNNNNNNNNNNNNNNNNNNNNNNNNNNNNNNNNNNNNNNNNNNNNNNNNNNNNNNNNNNNNNNNNNNNNNNNNNNNNNNNNNNNNCUGUGAGGUAUGCUGGAGGUAUCAGAAGUGCGAAUGCUGACAUAAGUAACGAUAAAGCGGGUGAAAAGCCCGCUCGCCGGAAGACCAAGGGUUCCUGUCCAACGUUAAUCGGGGCAGGGUGAGUCGACCCCUAAGGCGAGGCCGAAAGGCGUAGUCGAUGGGAAACAGGUUAAUAUUCCUGUACUUGGUGUUACUGCGAAGGGGGGACGGAGAAGGCUAUGUUGGCCGGGCGACGGUUGUCCCGGUUUAAGCGUGUAGGCUGGUUUUCCAGGCAAAUCCGGAAAAUCAAGGCUGAGGCGUGAUGACGAGGCACUACGGUGCUGAAGCGACAAAUGCCCUGCUUCCAGGAAAAGCCUCUAAGCAUCAGGUAACAUCAAAUCGUACCCCAAACCGACACAGGUGGUCAGGUAGAGAAUACCAAGGCGCUUGAGAGAACUCGGGUGAAGGAACUAGGCAAAAUGGUGCCGUAACUUCGGGAGAAGGCACGCUGAUAUGUAGGUGAAGCGACUUGCUCGUGGAGCUGAAAUCAGUCGAAGAUACCAGCUGGCUGCAACUGUUUAUUAAAAACACAGCACUGUGCAAACACGAAAGUGGACGUAUACGGUGUGACGCCUGCCCGGUGCCGGAAGGUUAAUUGAUGGGGUUAGCGGUAACGCGAAGCUCUUGAUCGAAGCCCCGGUAAACGGCGGCCGUAACUAUAACGGUCCUAAGGUAGCGAAAUUCCUUGUCGGGUAAGUUCCGACCUGCACGAAUGGCGUAAUGAUGGCCAGGCUGUCUCCACCCGAGACUCAGUGAAAUUGAACUCGCUGUGAAGAUGCAGUGUACCCGCGGCAAGACGGAAAGACCCCGUGAACCUUUACUAUAGCUUGACACUGAACAUUGAGCCUUGAUGUGUAGGAUAGGUGGGAGGCUUUGAAGUGUGGACGCCAGUCUGCAUGGAGCCGACCUUGAAAUACCACCCUUUAAUGUUUGAUGUUCUAACGUGGGCCCCUUACCGGGGUUGCGGACAGUGUCUGGUGGGUAGUUUGACUGGGGCGGUCUCCUCCUAAAGAGUAACGGAGGAGCACGAAGGUUGGCUAAUCCUGGUCGGACAUCAGGAGGUUAGUGCAAUGGCAUAAGCCAGCUUGACUGCGAGCGUGACGGCGCGAGCAGGUGCGAAAGCAGGUCAUAGUGAUCCGGUGGUUCUGAAUGGAAGGGCCAUCGCUCAACGGAUAAAAGGUACUCCGGGGAUAACAGGCUGAUACCGCCCAAGAGUUCAUAUCGACGGCGGUGUUUGGCACCUCGAUGUCGGCUCAUCACAUCCUGGGGCUGAAGUAGGUCCCAAGGGUAUGGCUGUUCGCCAUUUAAAGUGGUACGCGAGCUGGGUUUAGAACGUCGUGAGACAGUUCGGUCCCUAUCUGCCGUGGGCGCUGGAGAACUGAGGGGGGCUGCUCCUAGUACGAGAGGACCGGAGUGGACGCAUCACUGGUGUUCGGGUUGUCAUGCCAAUGGCACUGCCCGGUAGCUAAAUGCGGAAGAGAUAAGUGCUGAAAGCAUCUAAGCACGAAACUUGCCCCGAGAUGAGUUCUCCCUGACUCCUUGAGAGUCCUGAAGGAACGUUGAAGACGACGACGUUGAUAGGCCGGGUGUGUAAGCGCAGCGAUGCGUUGAGCUAACCGGUACUAAUGAACCGUGAGGCUUAACCUUACAACGCCGAAG